CUUCCUCAUCUAAACAAAAGGCAUACUGUUAAAACAUCACAUAUUCUGAUGCGAAAAAUAAUCAGCAGACAUUAAUUUCUGCCAGACAUUGCUUUGUAUCACUUUACUGCAGGUGCAGUCAACUAUAAUAACAGUUAUCAGCUGAUGUGAAAUGUGGGCAGCAACAUUAGGCAGAGCUCAUAACAUAAUGCAAAUUAUCCCUGAAGAUAAUCAAACGGUUAUAUUUACAUGUAUGUUGAUCAUAAACUGUUCCUGGGUAAACCUGAAAACUGUUUUAGAUUGCCUUUUAAAUGAUCCAUUGUAAGCCAUUCCAAAAUCUUGUUUACCACCAUGCCUUAAGAAAUAAACCAGGACUCAGUAUAUAAAGUGGAAAGUAUGGGGAGAAUGCAUACACAGGGACACAUGGAAGCUUCUUGCCUAUAAAACACCCGAACCACACACACAUUUCCUGUGCCACACAAUCCCCCUUUUCACUCCUUGCCCAAUGUGUGUGUAAAGGAGAGCGAGCACCGGGGAUGGGAAAAGUUAGGCAGGAAUAUGUGGUAGACUACACAAGGUAGUUUCAUUUAAAUUCACAGAAACGAUCUGUGUGCAGACCUGACGAUAAUCAAGUUAUGACAAGUUCAACACCUCCCAAACAGAAAACACUAAACAAAGGGACAUUUUGCUGAAGGCUCUCCACUUUCAAGAUUACUGCAGGAAGGUAUCCUGUUCGCGGCUGCGCCUAAAAAUGAAAGUCUCCCCCUUUAAAGUUUAAAGCACACUCAGGCUCAUCUCACAGAGAAAACAUGAGUGGAGUUACACUGGAUGUUUUGAUUGAGUGGUAAGUCUUUCUCAACCUUAUGAUUCCCAAUGUGUAAGUUAUGUAUUUCUGGUAUUUCAGGUUGAUCUGUCAACUUUUUUAAUUUAAUUUAUUACAUGAGAUUAAUACAUUAUCAAUCCAGUAGACAAUUGAUGUUCCAUGUAGCUACUCCGUAAGUGAUACAAUUACCUCACAAUGCCAUUUCAUUUUGGUGAUAUUAAGUUGUGGGCACCAGUAUCUAGCAGGAAAUGUAUAUUUCUGAAAUGAUUAAUCUUCUGACGAUCAAUGAAUCUACUAAUCAGCAACUACUCUGAUAACUGAUUACUCGUUUUAAUCAAUUUU